rnacentral:rRNA from 1 species
CAUGCAAGUCGAACGGAAAGGCCAGUGCUUGCACUGGUACUCGAGUGGCGAACGGGUGAGUAACACGUGGGUGAUCUGCCCUGUACUUCGGGAUAAGCUUGGGAAACUGGGUCUAAUACCGGAUAGGACAACUUUUUGGAUAUUGUUGUGGAAAGCUUUUGCGGUAUGGGAUGAGCUCGCGGCCUAUCAGCUUGUUGGUGGGGUAAUGGCCUACCAAGGCGUCGACGGGUAGCCGGCCUGAGAGGGUGUACGGCCACAUUGGGACUGAGAUACGGCCCAGACUCCUACGGGAGGCAGCAGUGGGGAAUAUUGCACAAUGGGCGCAAGCCUGAUGCAGCGACGCCGCGUGGGGGAUGAAGGCCUUCGGGUUGUAAACUCCUUUCGCUAGGGACGAAGCAUUUKUG